rnacentral:rRNA from 1 species
AACGAACGCUGGCGGCAGGCUUAACACAUGCAAGUCGAACGGGUGUAGCAAUACAUCAGUGGCAGACGGGUGAGUAACACGUGGGAACCUUCCUAGGGGUACGGAACAACUCAGGGAAACUUGAGCUAAUACCGUAUACGUCCGUAAGGAGAAAGAUUCAUCGCCCCUAGACGGGCCCNCGUCGGAUUAGGUAGUUGGUGGGGUAACGGCCUACCAAGCCUACGAUCCGUAGCUGAUCUGAGAGGAUGAUCAGCCACACUGGGACUGAGACACGGCCCAGACUCCUACGGGAGGCAGCAGUGGGAAUCUUGGACAAUGGGCGCAAGCCUGAUCCAGCCAUGCCGCGUGAGUGAAGAAGGCCUUAGGGUUGUAAAGCUCUUUUACCAGGGACGAUAAUGACGGUACCUGGAGAAUAA